ACCUGUUCCCAUACCGAACACAGAAGUUAAGCUCCUUAGCGCCGAGGGUAGUACGCAAGUGCGAGAGUAGGACGUUGCUGGGC
rnacentral:rRNA from 1 species